rnacentral:rRNA from 1 species
AGAGAUGUGUGAUGACGCAUAUCAAUAAGCGGAGGAAAAGAAACUAACAAGGAUUCCCUUAGUAACGGCGAGUGAAGCGGGAAGAGCUCAAAUUUGAAAUCUUCAAGGUUCUACCUUGACGAAUUGUAGUUUAUAGAAGUGUUUUCUGUUAGUGGAGUGGCAAAAGUUCUUUGGAAUAGGACAUCAUAGAGGGUGAGAAUCCCGUAUUUGGUCAUUACUUCCUAGCGUUGUGAUACACUUUCAAAGAGUCGGAUUGUUUGGGAAUGCAGUCCAAAAUGGGUGGUAAAUUUCAUCUAAAGCUAAAUAUUGGCGAGAGACCGAUAGCGAACAAGUACCGUGAGGGAAAGAUGAAAAGAACUUUGAAAAGAGAGUUAAACAGUACGUGAAAUUGUCAAAAGGGAAGCGUUUGACACCAGGUGUUGUUUUUCCGAAAAUCAAUUACGAAUGUUUUGUUUUUGAGGAGUUAUGACUUCAUCGGCUUGCUCCUUUCUUUAUGAAACUUUCUUAAUGCACUUUUCGGUUAACAAGUCAACAUCAAUUUCCUUUUGUUGUAAAAGGGUAAGAGGAAGGUGGCUUUACUUUCGGAGUAAAGUGUUUAUAGCCUUUUACCUCUGCAAUCGGAGAGAUUGAGGUCUGCAGCGUAGAUCCUUCGGGGUUAGAUACAUUUGUGCUAAGUUAUAGCUUUUCAUAGACAACUUGUUGACUAUGUUAAGUCUUGUAGCUUACUCGCAGUAUGCUAUUUUACCUACGCUUAGGAUGUUGAGUCGUAGAGCACGCAG